rnacentral:rRNA from 1 species
CCUACGGGUGGCUGCAGUGGGGGAUAUUGCACAAUGGAGGAAACUCUGAUGCAGCAACGCCGCGUGAGGGAAGAAGGUCUUCGGAUUGUAAACCUCUGUCCUCAGGGACGAUAAUGACGGUACCUGAGGAGGAAGCUCCGGCUAACUACGGGCCAGCAGCCGCGGUAAUACGUAGGGCGCAAUCGUUGUCCGGAUUUACUGGGUGUAAAGGGUGCGUAGGCGGCCCUGCAAGUCAGGUGUGAAAAGUAUGGGCUUAACUCGUAGAUUGCCCUUGAAACUGUGGGGUUUGAGUGAAGUAGAGGCAAGCGGAAUUCGCUGUGUUGGGGUGAAAUGCGUAGAGAUCGGGAAGAACACCAGUGGCGAAGGCGGCCUGCUGGGCUUUAACUGACGCUGAGGCACGAAAGCGUGGGUAGCAAACAGGAUUAGAUACCCUGGUAGUC